AUGCAGCCCUGUUGUUUGUGCGAGAGAGAUAGAGGAGCAGACCCAAUCCCCACCUCUUGCUCUGAGUCGGAUCUAGGGCGCACACCCAGCCGGGAGCCGGCGACCAUGGCGGAGGCCGCAGGAGCAGCAGCAUCGCCUACUCCCCACCGCGGCCUCCCCGAGGAGAUCGUGGUCUGGGAGAUCCUCGUCCGCCUGCCCCCCAAAUCUCUCCUCUGCUGCCGCGCUGUCUGCAGUGCCUGGCGCCGCGCCACCUCCGCCCGUGCCUUCCUCCUCGCCCACCACGCCCGCCAGCCCGCCCUCCGCAUCCUCUCCGACGGCGGCAAAAGCAUCCUCGUCUUCAACAACCGGGCCGCUACCACCCAGCUCCAGCCUGUCGCCCGGCUUCGCGAGGUCUUCUAUCCGGAAGCCUCCUGCGACGGCCUCCUCAUCCUUCACAGCAAGAUUGGCGACCGCUUCUCCAUCUGCAACCCGGCCACUCGUCAGUGUGCUCCACUCCCACAGCUUUCUGGUUUCAGGGUCUUGGGGAUGUACCCGCAUAGCCCAACCGGAGAGUACCGAAUACUGGCGACCGACUUCCAUGAGGCCUGCUACAUCUUCGCAUUGGACUCCACCCAUCCACCGAGGAGCAUCUGGUCGCUGCCGCCGGAGGCGGAGCGCAUUAUACAUUGGGUUGGUGUCCUGGUCCGUGGUAGGCUGCAUUGGGCCCUAGAAGACAGCAUGGUGAUGGUAUUCAACACCACAGCCGAGUCAUUCCAUCUGAUGCGUUCUCCUAGUACCGACGACUCUCUAGCGUUUGAGAUGGAUGGCAUGCUCGGGGUGCACAACUUUACUAGUGCAACCGAAAUAGUUAAUAUCUGGGUGUUGCGGGACUAUGAAAGCGAGGUCUGGACCUUCAAGUGCCAGAUUCAAUUGCCAUUGCCGGUUACUGACUUCAGUGUCCGGAGUCGUUAUGCCACAUCUUGUAGCGCGUGGGUCGUGCGUGGCAAUGGUGAGUUCCUCAUGCUGGUCAAAUUUGCCGAGUGCCUACUUCAGGUUGACAUGGAUGGCAAGUUAGUGGCCACUUUCCAUCACCAAGAUGUCUGGCCUACACUAUUUCACCUCAAACAAUCUCUUGUUCCACAUGCCUUCUUUCCAACACUAGAGGGCUAUGUUGUGAAUGAUGUGCCUUUUAUCUGA
rnacentral:rRNA from 1 species